rnacentral:rRNA from 1 species
GAUGAACGCUGGCGGCAUGCCUAAUACAUGCAAGUCGAGCGAACAGACGAGGAGCUUGCUCCUCUGACGUUAGCGGCGGACGGGUGAGUAACACGUGGAUAACCUACCUAUAAGACUGGGAUAACUUCGGGAAACCGGAGCUAAUACCGGAUAAUAUAUUGAACCGCAUGGUUCAAUAGUGAAAGACGGUUUUGCUGUCACUUAUAGAUGGAUCCGCGCCGCAUUAGCUAGUUGGUAAGGUAACGGCUUACCAAGGCAACGAUGCGUAGCCGACCUGAGAGGGUGAUCGGCCACACUGGAACUGAGACACGGUCCAGACUCCUACGGGAGGCAGCAGUAGGGAAUCUUCCGCAAUGGGCGAAAGCUUGACGGAGCAACGCCGCGUGAGUGAUGAAGGUCUUCGGAUCGUAAAACUCUGUUAUUAGGGAAGAACAAAUGUGUAAGUAACUAUGCACGUCUUGACGGUACCUAAUCAGAAAGCCACGGCUAACUACAUG